AGAACGAACGCUGGCGGCAGGCUUAACACAUGCAAGUCGAGCGCCCCGCAAGGGGAGCGGCAGACGGGUGAGUAACGCGUGGGAAUCUACCCAACCCUACGGAAUAACACAGGGAAACUUGUGCUAAUACCGUAUACGCCCUACGGGGGAAAGAUUUAUCGGGGUUGGAUGAGCCCGCGUUGGAUUAGCUAGUUGGUGGGGUAAUGGCCUACCAAGGCGACGAUCCAUAGCUGGUCUGAGAGGAUGAUCAGCCACACUGGGACUGAGACACGGCCCAGACUCCUACGGGAGGCAGCAGUGGGGAAUAUUGGACAAUGGGCGAAAGCCUGAUCCAGCCAUGCCGCGUGAGUGAUGAAGGCCUUAGGGUUGUAAAGUCCUUUUAACGGGGAAGAUAAUGACGGUACCCGUAGAAUAAGCCCGGCUAACUUCGCGCCAGCAGCCGC
rnacentral:rRNA from 1 species